rnacentral:rRNA from 1 species
GGGUUGUGAGGUUAAGCGACUAAGCGUACACGGUGGAUGCCCUGGCAGUCAGAGGCGAUGAAGGGCGUGCUAAUCUGCGAUAAGCGCCGGUAAGGUGAUAUGAACCGUUAUAACCGGCGAUACCCGAAUGGGGAAACCCAGUGUGAUUCGUCACACUAUCAUUAACUGAAUCCAUAGGUUAAUGAGGCGAACCGGGGGAACUGAAACAUCUAAGUACCCCGAGGAAAAGAAAUCAACCGAGAUUCCCCCAGUAGCGGCGAGCGAACGGGGAGGAGCCCAGAGCCUGAAUCAGCAUGUGUGUUAGUGGAAGCGUCUGGAAAGGCGCGCGAUACAGGGUGACAGCCCCGUACACAAAAGCGCAUGUGCUGUGAGCUCGAUGAGUAGGGCGGGACACGUGGUAUCCUGUCUGAAUAUGGGGGGACCAUCCUCCAAGGCUAAAUACUCCUGACUGACCGAUAGUGAACCAGUACCGUGAGGGAAAGGCGAAAAGAACCCCGGCGAGGGGAGUGAAAAAGAACCUGAAACCGUGUACGUACAAGCAGUGGGAGCCCCACCACUAAGCCAGUGGUGAACUCCACAUACGCAUCCUUUGCUGAGGAUACGGUUAACGGAGCGAAAGCGACGUUCAACCUCAAAAGAAGCAGAGGGGGCUUAGUGGUGGGGUGACUGCGUACCUUUUGUAUAAUGGGUCAGCGACUUAUAUUCUGUAGCAAGGUUAACCGUAUAGGGGAGCCGGAGGGAAACCGAGUCUUAACCGGGCGUUAAGUUGCAGGGUAUAGACCCGAAACCCGGUGAUCUAGCCAUGGGCAGGUUGAAGGUUGGGUAACACUAACUGGAGGACCGAACCGACUAAUGUUGAAAAAUUAGCGGAUGACCUGUGGCUGGGGGUGAAAGGCCAAUCAAACCGGGAGAUAGCUGGUUCUCCCCGAAAGCUAUUUAGGUAGCGCCUCGUGAAUUCAUCUCCGGGGGUAGAGCACUGUUUCGGCUAGGGGGCCAUCCCGGUUUACCAACCCGAUGCAAACUGCGAAUACCGGAGAAUGUUAUCACGGGAGACACACGGCGGGUGCUAACGUCCGUCGUGAAGAGGGAAACAACCCAGACCGCCAGCUAAGGUCCCAAAGUCAUGGUUAAGUGGGAAACGAUGUGGGAAGGCCCAGACAGCCAGGAUGUUGGCUUAGAAGCAGCCAUCAUUUAAAGAAAGCGUAAUAGCUCACUGGUCGAGUCGGCCUGCGCGGAAGAUGUAACGGGGCUAAACCAUGCACCGAAGCUGCGGCAGCGAACGUAUCACUUAAAGCGAUUCAGCGGAUGACGAUUGACGGAGCGAAGCGACGUCAAAGCGUAUACAAAGUCGAGUCGGUUUAAGGAUACGUUCGUUGGGUAGGGGAGCGUUCUGUAAGCCUGCGAAGGUGGCCUGUGAGGGUUGCUGGAGGUAUCAGAAGUGCGAAUGCUGACAUAAGUAACGAUAAAGCGGGUGAAAAGCCCGCUCGCCGGAAGACCAAGGGUUCCUGUCCAACGUUAAUCGGGGCAGGGUGAGUCGACCCCUAAGGCGAGGCCGAAAGGCGUAGUCGAUGGGAAACGGGUUAAUAUUCCCGUACUUGGUGUUACUGCGAAGGGGGGACGGAGAAGGCUAUGUUGGCCGGGCGACGGUUGUCCCGGUUUAAGCGUGUAGGUGUGUGUUCCAGGUAAAUCCGGUUCACUUUAACACUGAGGCGUGACGACGAGGCACUACGGUGCUGAAGCAACAAAUGCCCUGCUUCCAGGAAAAGCCUCUAAGCAUCAGGUAACAUCAAAUCGUACCCCAAACCGACACAGGUGGUCAGGUAGAGAAUACCAAGGCGCUUGAGAGAACUCGGGUGAAGGAACUAGGCAAAAUGGUGCCGUAACUUCGGGAGAAGGCACGCUGACAUGUAGGUGAAGUGAUUUACUCACGGAGCUGAAGUCAGUCGAAGAUACCAGCUGGCUGCAACUGUUUAUUAAAAACACAGCACUGUGCAAACACGAAAGUGGACGUAUACGGUGUGACGCCUGCCCGGUGCCGGAAGGUUAAUUGAUGGGGUCAGCGCAAGCGAAGCUCCUGAUCGAAGCCCCGGUAAACGGCGGCCGUAACUAUAACGGUCCUAAGGUAGCGAAAUUCCUUGUCGGGUAAGUUCCGACCUGCACGAAUGGCGUAAUGAUGGCCAGGCUGUCUCCACCCGAGACUCAGUGAAAUUGAACUCGCUGUGAAGAUGCAGUGUACCCGCGGCAAGACGGAAAGACCCCGUGAACCUUUACUAUAGCUUGACACUGAACAUUGAGCCUUGAUGUGUAGGAUAGGUGGGAGGCUUUGAAGUGUGGACGCCAGUCUGCAUGGAGCCGACCUUGAAAUACCACCCUUUAAUGUUUGAUGUUCUAACGUGGACCCGUUACCCGGGUUGCGGACAGUGUCUGGUGGGUAGUUUGACUGGGGCGGUCUCCUCCUAAAGAGUAACGGAGGAGCACGAAGGUUGGCUAAUCCUGGUCGGACAUCAGGAGGUUAGUGCAAUGGCAUAAGCCAGCUUGACUGCGAGCGUGACGGCGCGAGCAGGUGCGAAAGCAGGUCAUAGUGAUCCGGUGGUUCUGAAUGGAAGGGCCAUCGCUCAACGGAUAAAAGGUACUCCGGGGAUAACAGGCUGAUACCGCCCAAGAGUUCAUAUCGACGGCGGUGUUUGGCACCUCGAUGUCGGCUCAUCACAUCCUGGGGCUGAAGUAGGUCCCAAGGGUAUGGCUGUUCGCCAUUUAAAGUGGUACGCGAGCUGGGUUUAGAACGUCGUGAGACAGUUCGGUCCCUAUCUGCCGUGGGCGCUGGAGAACUGAGGGGGGCUGCUCCUAGUACGAGAGGACCGGAGUGGACGCAUCACUGGUGUUCGGGUUGUCAUGCCAAUGGCACUGCCCGGUAGCUAAAUGCGGAAGAGAUAAGUGCUGAAAGCAUCUAAGCACGAAACUUGCCCCGAGAUGAGUUCUCCCUGAGACUUAGAGUCUCCUGAAGGAACGUUGAAGACGACGACGUUGAUAGGCCGGGUGUGUAAGCGCAGCGAUGCGUUGAGCUAACCGGUACUAAUGAACCGUGAGGCUUAACCUUACAACGCCGAAG